rnacentral:rRNA from 1 species
AGGGAAGGAGGGAGGUAGGUUUAACACAUGCAAGUCGAACGGCAGCACAGUAAGAGCUUGCUCUUACGGGUGGCGAGUGGCGGACGGGUGAGGAAUACAUCGGAAUCUACUUUUUCGUGGGGGAUAACGUAGGGAAACUUACGCUAAUACCGCAUACGACCUACGGGUGAAAGCAGGGGAUCUUCGGACCUUGCGCGAUUGAAUGAGCCGAUGUCGGAUUAGCUAGUUGGCGGGGUAAAGGCCCACCAAGGCGACGAUCCGUAGCUGGUCUGAGAGGAUGAUCAGCCACACUGGAACUGAGACACGGUCCAGACUCCUACGGGAGGCAGCAGUGGGGAAUAUUGGACAAUGGGCGCAAGCCUGAUCCAGCCAUACCGCGUGGGUGAAGAAGGCCUUCGGGUUGUAAAGCCCUUUUGUUGGGAAAGAAAAGCAGCAGGUUAAUACCCCGCUGUUCUGACGGUACCCAAAGAAUAAGCACCGGCUAACUUCGUG